GAACUCAUUUUCGUACACAUAUUUUCAUGUCCAAUUACAUUCGAUUACCAUUACAUAUCCAUUUCCAUUUCCAAAUUCAUUACACAACCAUCACAACAUUUCCAUAAGUUACAAAGUCAUUACAUUUCACAGUAUUUUCUUACAAGUUCAUAAUAUUACAUGAAUCCUACAAGUACAAUCCUGAACAAUCACAAUUACAGGGAUCUAAUAGAAAAACAUACACAUAGCUUCCUAAGGCUAUCAAAAUGUGUGAGCAAGCUUUAGUUUCAACUGAUCCGGUUGUUACCUCGUUAGGAAACUUCCAACAGGCCUAUGUAUACUCAACAAAAUCUGGAGAUUGUUUUGCUUUUCUCUCAAACUUUGAUUCCAAAUCUUCUGCUAGAGUGCUUUUCAACAAUAUGCACUAUAAUUUACCUCCUUGGUCCGUCAGCGUCCUCCCGGAUUGUAGACAUGCUGUUUUUAAUACGGCAAAGGUUGGAGUGCAAACAUCUGAGAUACAAGUGUUGCCUACAAAUGCUCAUAUGUUCUCAUGGGAGAGUUUCGAUGAAGAUACUUCUUCUAGUUCUACAAAUACAAUCACUGUUUCUGGUCUCUUAGAACAGAUAAAUGUAACACGAGAUAUAAGUGACUACCUUUGGUAUAUAACUAGCGUUGAUGUUGGUUCGUCCGAAUCCUUUCUUCGCGGAGGCAAACUUCCUUCUCUCAUUGUUCAGUCAACUGGUCAUGCUGUACAUGUGUUUAUCAAUGAUCGACUUUCUGGCUCUGCCUAUGGAACAAGGGAGGACAGAAGAUUCAGAUAUAUUGGCGAUGUAAAUCUUCGUGCCGGAACAAACACUAUAGCUUUGCUCAGUGUUGCUGUUGGACUUCCAAGCGUGGGUGGACAUUUUGAGACAUGGAACACAGGAAUUCUAGGUCCAGUUGUUAUGCAUGGACUUGAUCAGUGAAAGCUGGACUUUGUCAUGGCAGAAAUGGACUUACCAGGUUGAGCUGAAAGGAGAGGCCUUGAAUCUUGCAUCACCAGACGAUAUCUCUUCUGUCGAGUGGAUGGAGUCAGCGUUAGUUGUACACAAAUCAGGCAACUCCAACGGCAACGGAAACGCAUCAACGGCAGAACCUGCAAAACCAAACUGAAGAGAACUCAAUUAAUAUCCAACAGAAAACUCACUUCCGAUAAUCCAAAACAACCACAACAGAAUUCGCAGCAGACCUCAAACCAGUAUGUUUUGUCAACCUGCAAGCAUAAGCAAAGCGCACAAAUCGUGAGCAACACAAUGGAAAAAUAACAACGGCAUGAUACAAAACCAAUGGCAGAACAUAACCAUUAGAAGUUACUGCUCAAUUAAUGGAUUCUAACAACAAUCACAAGGAGCCAUGGGAUUGGCAUGGAGAGGAUUAUUGUCUGCAGAAUACAAUCCCGAAUUUCGAUAUUUCGGAGGAGCUGUGGAAUGAUGUGCCUCAAAAUGGAGAAGAUCUUUCCUACAUGUUUGAUGCUGAAACAACUCCGAUUAAGGCUUGCGGUGAUUUGGCAUAUAGUGUCAAUAAUGCAGAUUCAAAUUCAAGAUAUAUUCAAAAGGAACAACUAGAGGAUGGUAGGGAGACUUCUCAAGUUAAGAGGCGGCGGAUGCUACAAUUCGACAGCCAAGAGAGUGACAAUUCUCUUUCCAACAAUUAACUCAAGCUAACUUUCAUUUCUCCUAGUAUUAACUCAACUUUGACUUCACUAAUUAACUAAUACACCAACCAAAAGAUGCUUCUUUUGAAGUUGUCGGUUACUUAGUCGAAGAGCUUCGUGAUGUAUCGACAUACAAUUGUUUUUGCAAGGAUGUUAAAAUCGCCAUUGGUUCUUUGAUCUUUGUUGAAAAGCUUACACUCAAAGUGAAGACUGCUGUUAAGAAAGAAAGGGACAAACUUGAUGCAGUUCUGGUGUUUCCAUCAAUUCCUGAAGUGAUGAGGAUGAACAAAUUGAGAUCUUCCAGCCUGUUGCAGCUUGGACAAUCAAAGAGUCAUUUUUUCCAUA